CAAUAGCGUAUAUUAAAGUUGUUGCGGUUAAAAAGCUCGUAGUUGGAUCUCGGCGGGCAGGGGGUGGUUCGCUCUUCAGCGCUACUGCCCCGCUUUGCCCGUGUGAUUGGCGGAGGUUUCGGGGUGCUCUUCGUUGAGUGACUCGGAGCGCCGUCAGGUUUACUUUGAAAAAUUAGAGUGCUCAAAGCAGGCUUUUCACGCUUGAAUAUUCGUGCAUGGAAUAAUGGAAUAGGAACUCGUUUCUAUUUUGUUGGUUUUCGGAAAUCGAGUUAAUGAUUAACAGGGACAAUUGGGGGCAUUAGUAUUCAGACGACAGAGGUGAAAUUCUUGGACCGUCUGAAGACUGACUACUGCGAAAGCAUUUGCCAAGAGUGUUUUCAUUAAUCAAGAACGAAAGUUAGAGGUUCGAAGACGAUUAGAUACCAU
rnacentral:rRNA from 1 species